CCUGCAAAACGAAUCUAAGUUCCCCCUUAACCCUCUUUUUCCUCCCCAGACAAACCCAACCCAAAUGUGAUAGUUAAGGGCUAUUUAAAGGGGGUACAGCCCCUUUAAAAAAGGACACAACCUCCACCAGCGGAUAACCCCUGUACACCCAACCCCGUGGGCCUUAAAGCAGCCACCCCCAAAGAUUGCGUCAAAGCUCCAUCAACCAAAAACCCCCAAAACCAAUGCGACUCCCUACACCCACAGCAGGCCAACCUAUAACAAUAGAUGAAUCAAUGCUAGAACGAGUAACCAGGACACUAUGUCCCCCCAAGCGCCAGCCUGUAUACCAUUAACAGUAAAACCUCAAUAAUAACCACCCCCACCAUUGAACCCACCCUGUCAACCCAACUCAGGGGCGCACACUGGAGUGAUCAAAAUCUACAAAAGGAACUCGGCAAACCUAAGACCCGACUGUUUACCAAAAACAUAGCCUUCAGCCAAACAAGUAUUGAAGGUGAUGCCUGCCCAGUGACACUA
rnacentral:rRNA from 1 species